AAAGCGUGCGUAGGCGGCUUUUUAAGUCGGAUGUGAAAUCCCCGAGCUUAACUUGGGAAUCGCAUUCGAUACUGGGAAGCUAGAGUAUGGGAGAGGAUGGUAGAAUUCCAGGUGUAGCGGUGAAAUGCGUAGAGAUCUGGAGGAAUACCGAUGGCGAAGGCAGCCAUCUGGCCUAAUACUGACGCUGAGGUACGAAAGCAUGGGGAGCAAACAGGAUUAGAUACCCUGGU
rnacentral:rRNA from 1 species